CCUGGUCUAAUACAGUCGAAAUAGGGCCUGAUCCUUUAAAUAAGGUGAAUCAAACUGUCGACCUCACCGUCGGGCAAUGAAACCUUCAGGGAAUUCUCUGCCAGACGCUUAGGCGGCAGCGUUGAGGGGUGAUGUCAAGUGUCGAACAUAUCGUUGGGCGGUGUACUAUUAGACCUGGGCCAAUUUCUACUUCGUUUUAAUGAGUUAUAAAUAUAAUUGCACGACCCAGAAGGGCUAUCUUUUGGCAAAAAGGAUGCACGAACACUCUCU
rnacentral:lncRNA from 1 species